UAUUUCUACGUGACUUUACCGAAAAAAACAAAGAGUACGUGUGUGUUGUGUGGUAACUCUUGACACCCAGGAUUCGAGGAUUUUUACAUAGGGCUGCUUUGCCGUUUAUUCACAACUGUUACACACUCUUACACACUCUUGUUUCCACUCUCUACGCUCGACGCUUACAGCCGUGGACAUCCCUCGGUUAUCUCAGCCCCGGUACGGCUUCCCUUACGUCUUAUCACCUCGUCUGGCCCCGAGCGGGGACUCACCCAUCACCGCCCGGCGACGAGAAGCGACCUGGCCACGAAUGACAGCUCAACAAAGUGGCUCAUCGUCACGUGGACAUGUAUUGCCGCGCAGCCAAGUACUUCUCUGAGAACGGCUCGGAGGUGCCACGUGCCACCAAGAAUAACAUCCCUGCCUCCUGAAGGCAGGAAACCCCCUUGCAAGCCACGCCCACCGGGACGCGAUUAAUGAUGCGGGUGACGUCGAAGAGUUCCUCCCAUCGAUUUUCCUCCAAUGGGACGCAGCGAUAGAGGAUGACUCAGAGGUGCGAGUGGGAACCGCGGACGAGCGGAAAGGCAGCAGCAGCAGCAGCCGUGCGAUGAGCCGACGCCAACGAUUGCCCAAGCUCUCCGGUCCUCUGCAUAUGAAGGUGUUGCCAGCCGAUUGACGAGCAGCUUAAAUGUGGGAGGAAACAGAGCAGCCAGAGAAAACCCACACGUGCGAGGGGGCAACACUCUAUCCCAUGAAGAUGGAACAAACGGAGUCCACAUUUUCUUUGGUUCUUUCGGUAAAGUCACGUAGAAUGAGAAUAAAAUAAUAAAAUAAAAUAAGACAAUACAAUUAUCA